rnacentral:rRNA from 1 species
UACGGGGGGGGCAAGCGUUGUUCGGAAUUACUGGGCGUAAAGGGCGCGUAGGCGGCCUGCUAAGUCGGACGUGAAAUCCCCCGGCUCAACCGGGGAACUGCGUCCGAUACUGGUGGGCUCGAAUCCGGGAGAGGGAUGUGGAAUUCCAGGUGUAGCGGUGAAAUGCGUAGAUAUCUGGAGGAACACCGGUGGCGAAGGCGGCGUCCUGGACCAACACUGACACUGAGGAGCGAAAGCCAGGGGGGCAAACGGG